UACGGGGGGGGCAAGCGUUGUUCGGAAUUACUGGGCGUAAAGGGCGCGUAGGCGGCCUGCUAAGUCGGAUGUGAAAUCCCUCGGCUCAACCGAGGAACUGCAUCCGAUACUGGCGGGCUUGAAUCCGGGAGAGGGAUGUGGAAUUCCAGGUGUAGCGGUGAAAUGCGUAGAUAUGACAUAGAACACCAAUUGCGAAGGCAGCUCGCUACACAUAUAUUGACUCUGAGGCACGAAAGCGUGGGGAUCAAACAGG
rnacentral:rRNA from 1 species